GUUGGUGAGGUAAUGGCUCACCAAGGCGACGAUCCCUAGCUGGUCUGAGAGGAUGACCAGCCACACUGGAACUGAGACACGGUCCAGACUCCUACGGGAGGCAGCAGUGGGGAAUAUUGCACAAUGGGCGCAAGCCUGAUGCAGCCAUGCCGCGUGUAUGAAGAAGGCCUUCGGGUUGUAAAGUACUUUCAGCGGGGAGGAAGGUGUUGCGGUUAAUAACCGCAGCAAUUGACGUUACCCGCAGAAGAAGCACCGGCUAACUCCGUGCCAGCAGCCGCGGUAAUACGGAGGGUGCAAGCGUUAAUCGGAAUUACUGGGCGUAAAGCGCACGCAGGCGGUCUGUCAAGUCGGAUGUGAAAUCCCCGGGCUCAACCUGGGAACUGCAUUCGAAACUGGCAGGCUUGAGUCUUGUAGAGGGGGGUAGAAUUCCAGGUGUAGCGGUGAAAUGCGUAGAGAUCUGGAGGAAUACCGGUGGCGAAGGCGGCCCCCUGGACAAAGACUGACGCUCAGGUGCGAAAGCGUGGGGAGCAAACAGGAUUAGAUACCCUGGUAGUCCACGCCGUAAACGAUGUCUACUUGGAGGUUGUGCCCUUGAGGCGUGGCUUCCGGAGCUAACGCGUUAAGUAGACCGCCUGGGGAGUACGGCCGCAAGGUUAAAACUCAAAUGAAUUGACGGGGGCCCGCACAAGCGGUGGAGCAUGUGGUUUAAUUCGAUGCAACGCGAAGAACCUUACCUGGUCUUGACAUCCACAGAACUUUCCAGAGAUGGAUUGGUGCCUUCGGGAACUGUGAGACAGGUGCUGCAUGGCUGUCGUCAGCUCGUGUUGUGAAAUGUUGGGUUAAGUCCCGCAACGAGCGCAACCCUUAUCCUUUGUUGCCAGCGGUUAGGCCGGGAACUCAAAGGAGACUGCCAGUGAUAAACUGGAGGAAGGUGGGGAUGACGUCAAGUCAUCAUGGCCCUUACGACCAGGGCUACACACGUGCUACAAUGGCGCAUACAAAGAGAAGCGACCUCGCGAGAGCAAGCGGACCUCAUAAAGUGCGUCGUAGUCCGGAUUGGAGUCUGCAACUCGACUCCAUGAAGUCGGAAUCGCUAGUAAUCGUGGAUCAGAAUGCCACGGUGAAUACGUUCCCGGGCCUUGUACACACCGCCCGUCACACCAUGGGAGUGGGUUGCAAAAGAAGUAGGUAGCUUAACCUUCGGGAGGGCGCUUACCACUUUGUGAUUCAUGACUGGGGUGAAGUCGUAACAAGGUAACCGUAGGGGAACCUGCGGUUGGAUCACCUCCUUACCUGAAAGAA
rnacentral:rRNA from 1 species